rnacentral:rRNA from 1 species
AGUGAACGCUGGCGGUAGGCCUAACACAUGCAAGUCGAACGGCAGCACAGUAAGAGCUUGCUCUUACGGGUGGCGAGUGGCGGACGGGUGAGGAAUACAUCGGAAUCUACUUUUUCGUGGGGGAUAACGUAGGGAAACUUACGCUAAUACCGCAUACGACCUACGGGUGAAAGCAGGGGAUCUUCGGACCUUGCGCGCUUUAAUGAGCCGAUGUCGGAUUAGCUAGUUGGCGGGGUAAAGGCCCACCAAGGCGACGAUCCGUAGCUGUUCUGAGAGGAUGAGCAGGCACACUGGAACUGAGACACGGUCCAGACGGCUAAGAAAGGCAGCAGUGGGGAAUAUUAGACGAUGGGCGCAAGACUGAUCAAAACAUACCGCGUGGGUGAAGUAGGCCUUCGAAUUGUGAAACCCUAUUGUUGGAAGAGAAAAGCAGCAGGUAGAUACUCCCCUGUUUUGACGGUACCGAAAGAGUAAGAACCGGCUAACUUCGUG